rnacentral:rRNA from 1 species
AGCAGUAGCCGCGGUAAUACGAAGGUCCCGAGCGUUGUUCGGAAUCACUGGGCGUAAAGGGAGCGUAGGCGGCGUGGUAAGUCAGAUGUGAAAUCCCGGGGCUCAACCCCGGAACUGCAUCCGAUACUGCCAUGCUAGAGGAUUGGAGAGGUAGCUGGAAUUCUUGGUGUAGCAGUGAAAUGCGUGGAGAUCAAGAGGAACACUCGUGGCGAAAGCGAGCUACUGGACAAUAACUGACGCUGAGGCUCGAAGGCCAGGGUAGCGAAAGGGAUUAGAUACCCCUGUAGUCCCUGUCUCUUAUAC